GUAAGGAAUAUUGGUCAAUGGACGAAAGUCUGAACCAGCCAUGCCGCGUGGAGGAUGAAGGUCCUCUGGAUUGUAAACUUCUUUUAUAUGGGACGAAAAAAGGCUUUUCUAAGUCGUCUGACGGUACCAUAUGAAUAAGCACCGGCUAACUCCGUGCCAGCAGCCGCGGUAAUACGGAGGGUGCAAGCGUUAUCCGGAUUCACUGGGUUUAAAGGGUGCGUAGGUGGAUUGCCAAGUCCGUGGUGAAAUCUUCGAGCUUAACUCGGAAACUGCCAUGGAUACUGGUGAUCUUGAAUAUCGUGGAGGUUAGCGGAAUAUGUCAUGUAGCGGUGAAAUGCUUAGAUAUGACAUAGAACACCAAUUGCGAAGGCAGCUGGCUACGCGAAUAUUGACACUCAGGCACGAAAGCGUGGGGAUCGAACAGGAUUAGAAACCCUUGUAGUCC
rnacentral:rRNA from 1 species